rnacentral:rRNA from 1 species
GACUCCUACGGGAGGCAGCAGUAGGGAAUUUUCGUCAAUGGGCGCAAGCCUGAACGAGCAAUGCCGCGUGAACGAGGAAGGUCUUCGGAUCGUAAAGUUCUGUUGAAGGGGAAAAAGAGCGGAGAGAGGAAAUGAACUCCGAUUGAUAUUACCCUUCGAGGAAGGCACGGCUAACUACGUGCCAGCAGCCGCGGGAAUACGUAGGUGGGGAGCGUUAUCCGGAAUGAUUGGGCGAAAAGGGUGUGUAGGCGG